GGUACCCCAUCCUUCCCCCCAAAUCAGUCUCACUUUCCUGAAGAAAAUACAUCAAAUUCUCAGGAUACGUUAUUCCAUGACAGUCAAAACUCCUUGAGAUAUAAACAUAACCUAACAACGGCAGCAGGAGAGCAGAGCAGGAGCCAUGACGGUGGGGGCCAUGGCAGGACAAGCAUUUAGAAUGUUUCUCCUGCUCCUUGACUGAGUGUUGGUUGAAAGGCAUGCACCU
rnacentral:lncRNA from 10 species